GGUGGAUUAUUUACCAUCUGAGCCACCAGGACUGGGGAGUAAGACACACAGUGAGACACGCUUUAGAAAAAAAAAUUAGUGGAGUUCUGAAGGCAUGAACUGCGU
rnacentral:lncRNA from 1 species